rnacentral:rRNA from 1 species
GACGAACGCUGGCGGCGUGCUUAACACAUGCAAGUCGAACGGAAAGGCCCUGCUUUUGUAGGGUGCUCGAGUGGCGAACGGGUGAGUAACACGUGAGUAACCUGCCCUUGACUUUGGGAUAACUUCAGGAAACUGGGGCUAAUACCGGAUAGGAGCUCCUGCUGCAUGGUGGGGGUUGGAAAGUUUCGGCGGUUGGGGAUGGACUCGCGGCUUAUCAGCUUGUUGGUGGGGUAGUGGCUUACCAAGGCUUUGACGGGUAGCCGGCCUGAGAGGGUGACCGGCCACAUUGGGACUGAGAUACGGCCCAGACUCCUACGGGAGGCAGCAGUGGGGAAUAUUGCACAAGGGGCGGAAGCCUGAUGCAGCAACGCCGCGUGCGGGAUGACGGCCUUCGGGUUGUAAACCGCUUUCGCCUGUGACGAAGCGUGAGUGACGGUAAUGGGUAAAGAAGCACCGGCUAACUACGUG